rnacentral:rRNA from 1 species
AGAGUUUGAUCCUGGCUCAGAACGAACGCUGGCGGCGUGGAUAAGACAUGCAAGUCGAGCGGGAUUUUCUUUGGUAGCAAUACCGGGGAAAAUUCAGCGGCGAACGGGUGCGUAACACGUGGACAAUCUGCCUUAAAGUGGGGGAUAGCUCGGCGAAAGCCGAAUUAAUACCGCAUGUGAUCAGGAGAGACAUCUUUCCGAAAUCAAAGCCGGGGCAACCUGGCGCUUUUUGUGGAGUCCGCGGCCUAUCAGCUAGUUGGUGAGGUAACGGCUCACCAAGGCUUUGACGGGUAGCUGGUCUGAGAGGACGACCAGCCACACUGGAACUGAGACACGGUCCAGACACCUACGGGUGGCAGCAGUCGAGAAUUUUUCUCAAUGGGGGAAACCCUGAAGGAGCGACGCCGCGUGGAGGAUGAAGGUCUUCGGGUUGUAAACUCCUGUCAUUUGGGAACAAGUGGUCGAACGUAACUGCUUCGGCCUUGAUAGUACCAGAAGAGGAAGAGACGGCUAACUCUGUGCCAGCAGCCGCGGUAAUACAGAGGUCUCAAGCGUUGUUCGGAUUCAUUGGGCGUAAAGGGUGCGUAGGUGGCGUCGUAAGUCGGGUGUGAAAUUUCGGAGCUUAACUCCGAAACUGCAUUCGAUACUGCGGUGCUUGAGGACUGGAGAGGAGACUGGAAUUUACGGUGUAGCAGUGAAAUGCGUAGAGAUCGUAAGGAAGACCAGUGGCGAAGGCGGGUCUCUGGACAGUUCCUGACACUGAGGCACGAAGGCCAGGGGAGCAAACGGGAUUAGAUACCCUAGUAGUCC